CUUACACUAAGUCAAAGAAUUCUCAGCUUUGCACACUGACCUGCUAGCAAGGAGCUAGUGGUGCACAAGGAGCUGAGAGGAGACAGAACCAGGGGAGCUAGCUAACCUUGCCAAAAGCUUGCUUCCUGAGGUAUUCCUUGUGAUAAGACUCUAGGAGAUGAGAAGUGGGCGCUGCCAUGUGGCAAUCAACAUCCCUGUCUGGAUAAUUUACAUUUGAAAGCAUUUCUUUGGAGCUGUUUGCUUUUGGAAGGGAGUGCCCAGGACUUUUUACUGGACUGUUUACUGGCGGAAGAUCUGUCCUGUGACCAAAUUACUCCUGUUUGCUAUGGGACAUUAGGGGAUGAUACCAUGGUAGAAGCUGUCACUCCAAAAGGCUGACUCAACCACUUUGGACUUAUAUAAAUAAGUUUGUACUGCCAUCGCAAUCAUUGUCGUUGUUCUUGCCAUGGUCGCUGUCGUCACCAACGGAACAACACCCAAUGACCCACCUCUACUGAAGAUCGACAACUGAACCAUGAACCACGCUGGACCCAUGGUGGUGACUAUCUCCCUCUUGCUUCCUAUAGAGACUCCUUGCUCCUAUUUCCUAUCUUUUCUACUGCCCUUCUUCUCUUCCCCAUCAUCCUAAUUUGUACCUAUCAAGACUCCUUGCUUCUAUUUUCUAUCUUUUCUAUCGUUCCUCUUCCCUUCCGCAUUACCCCAAUCUGUAAUUGUGUCUGUCCUCCCCUUCUCCAUCUCCCUUAUUAAGAUUUGUA
ensembl:lncRNA